GUCAUAUUCAUUUGAAUUUAUUGGAAAUCAUAAUUGCGUUAUAAAAAAUGUCUGACAAAGGUUCAAAAUGUAAUCGACAAAGACGUACAAUAAGAAAGCCUAAAAAGUAUUGUACUACAGAUUCUGAUAAGCCAACGAAUAAGGAAAAGGCUAAAAAUAAAAUAUUAGAAGAAAUGACAACAGUAUUCAGAAAUUCUAAUUCUGAAGAAUCAGAUGAGGCAUCAAGUCAAUCAUCUGAUAAUGAAUCUAAUUUUUCUACUGACAGUGAGAACGAUGUUGAAAUGAAGAAAAGAUAUGAAAGAAAUGAACAAUUAACUCGGAAAAAAGAAGGAAAUCAAGACAAAUUAAUAAGACCAACUUCCAAAAAAGUAGAAAAUCAAGUUAAACCAGUCGGGCUUGACAAAAAAAAAGAAAAAAACAAAAAAACAACAUCGGAACAGCUACUUGAACAGCAUAGAAAUAAUAAUUUGAACUCACCUGGUUGUUCAACACAAACAUUACAAAAUAAUUAUGAUCAAAGAGAUGAUGUGAUAUGUUCCUCAAAUAAUCAUUCUAUUUACGAUUUCAACUCAGGGAUAAUUGCCGAAACAAGUACUGUUCAAAACAAUUCCC